rnacentral:rRNA from 1 species
UACGUAGGGGGCGAGCGUUGUCCGGAUUUAUUGGGCGUAAAGAGCUCGUAGGCGGUUCUGUAAGUCGGAUGUGAAAUCUCCACGCUCAACGUGGAGGGGCCAUUCGAUACUGCCGUGACUCGAGUCCGGUAGGGGAGUGUGGAAUUCCCGGUGUAGCGGUGAAAUGCGCAGAGAUCGGGAGGAACACCCGUAGCGAAGGCGGCACUCUGGGCCGGUACUGACGCUGAGGAGCGAAAGCGUGGGGAGCGAACAGG